rnacentral:rRNA from 1 species
CACAUGCAAGUUGAGCGGAGGUAGAUGGAGCUUGCUCUAUGUACCUUAGCAGCGAACGGGUGAGUAACACGUAGAUAAUCUGUCCUAUAUUGGGGGAUAGCCCGAUGAAAGUUGGAUUAAUACCGCAUACAGCUAUAUAGUUGCAUGAUUAUAUAGUGAAAGAUUUAUUGAUAUAGGAGGAGUCUGCGGCACAUUAGCUAGUAGGUGAGGUAAGAGCUUACCUAGGCGAUGAUGUGUAGCCGGUCUGAGAGGAUGAACGGCCACAAUGGAACUGAGACACGGUCCAUACUCCUACGGGAGGCAGCAGUGGGGAAUAUUGCACAAUGGGGGAAACCCUGAUGCAGCAACGCCGCGUGAGUGAAGAAGGUUUUCGGAUUGUAAAGCUCUGUUAGCAGGGAAGAGGGAGGACGGUACCUGCAGAGGAAGCCACGGCUAACUACGUGCCAGCAGCCGCGGUAAUACGUAGGUGGCAAGCGUUGUUCGGAAUAACUGGGCGUAAAGGAUGCGUAGGCGGUUAAAUAAGUUAUAUGUUAAAUAUAUAGGCUUAACCUGUAGAAAGCAUAUAAAACUGUUUAACUAGAGUGCAGGAGAGGUAAGUGGAAUUCCUAGUGUAGCGGUGAAAUGCGUAGAGAUUAGGAAGAACACCAGUGGCGAAGGCGACUUACUGGACUGUAACUGACGCUGAGGCAU